rnacentral:rRNA from 1 species
GUCGAACGGACUCUUCGGAGUUAGUGGCGGACGGGUGAGUAACGCGUGAGAAUCUGCCUUCAGGUCUGGGACAACAGAAGGAAACUUCUGCUAAUCCCGGAUGAGCCUUAGGGUAAAAGAUAAAUUGCCUGGAGAUGAGCUCGCGUCUGAUUAGCUAGUUGGUGUGGUAAAAGCAUACCAAGGCAACGAUCAGUAGCUGGUCUGAGAGGAUGAGCAGCCACACUGGGACUGAGACACGGCCCAGACUCCUGCGGGAGGCAGCAGUGGGGAAUUUUCCGCAAUGGGCGAAAGCCUGACGGAGCAAGACCGCGUGGGGGAGGAAGGCUCUAGGGUUGUAAACCCCUUUUCUUUGGGAAGAAGAUCUGACGGUACCAAAGGAAUCAGCCUCGGCUAACUCCGUGCCAGCAGCCGCGGUAAUACGGAGGAGGCAAGCGUUAUCCGGAAUGAUUGGGCGUAAAGCGUCCGUAGAUGGCCAUGUAAGUCUGCUGUCAAAACCCAGGGCUCAACUCUGGUCAGGCAGUGGAAACUACAAAGCUAGAGUUUGGUAGGGGCAAAGGGAAUUCCCGGUGUAGCGGUGAAAUGCGUAGAUAUCGGGAAGAACAUCGGUGGCGAAAGCGCUUUGCUAGACCAAAACUGACAUUGAGGGACGAAAGCUAGGGGAGCGAAUGGGAUUAGAUACCCCAGUAGUCCUAGCCGUAAACGAUGGAUACUAGGUGUUGCCUGUAUCGACCCAGGCAGUGCCGUAGCUAACGCGUUAAGUAU